CAUCAAGUACCGCUGAACUUCUCCUCAGAACUACCGAAAAUGUACCUUAUCUCUAUGUUUCCAGGGUGCAAAAUGCAAGUGCCUGCACGGCACCUGCGGCGCCCAAUGCUCGCGUCCCUGCGAGACCCCCGAAUGCUCGUGCGGGGAGCGGGGGGCGUGCCAGUUCGACGAGACAGGCGCCAUCUUGUGUGUUAACUGCACGGAGAAUCGCGCAGGUCCUCUUUGCGACCGAUGCUUGACCGGCUUCUACAGUGGUGUUCCUGAUGGUCCUUGUUUACCGUGCGAGUGUGACCCUGAUGGAUCAGACGGCUCCUGCACCUAUAGCAAGCACCAAAAGACCUGCAACUGCUUUCUCGGCUUCACCGGCCCGCUAUGCGACGCGUGCGCCGACGAAAACGCAGUGUUCCCUUACUGCUUAGUCACGGAGCUUACCACGGGCGUUCCUGAGUGCAAGUGCGAUGUCCGAGGAACAGUGAAUCCUGAAAGAGUGUGCGAAGAUAUCUGUGAAUGCAAGGAGAACGUGGUAGGCGAGCGGUGCGACGCAUGCGCGCCGGGUCAUUUCGGAUUGCGCACGGAUCUGCCUGAAGGAUGUCGUCCGUGCUACUGCGCUCACGUCACCGACUCCUGCGUCGAGGAUCCGCAGCCUGGUGACAA